rnacentral:rRNA from 1 species
UAGCGUUGCUCGGAAUCACUGGGCGUACAGCGCACGUAGGCGGCUUGUUAAGUCUGGGGUGAAAUCCUGGAGCUCAACUCCAGAACUGCCUUUGAUACUGGCGAUCUCGAGUCCGGGAGAGGUGAGUGGAACUGCGAGUGUAGAGGUGAAAUUCGUAGAUAUUCGCAAGAACACCAGUGGCGAAGGCGGCUCACUGGCCCGGUACUGACGCUGAGGUGCGAAAGCGUGGGGAGCAAACAGG